GCAUGGGUGGUUCAGUGGUAGAAUUCUUGCCUGCCACGUGGGAGGCCCGGGUUCACUUCCCGGCCCAUGCA
rnacentral:tRNA from 1 species